UUCUCAUACUUUGUUACGCAAUUUAUAGCUAUUCUGAAAUCAAAGCUUUGUCAGAAAAUUUCUUAAUCUUAAUGCAUCACAAGUUACCUGUGUGUUACGAGAUGUUGAUAUCGUAAGGAAAAUAAUGAAAGUAUCGAUUAUAAUGUCUUGGGCAAAUAUAAUCACAGAGUAACGAAUAACUGGCAGCAGACUGACAGUGUUAUCAGGAGGAAAUGUCAGCGAAAAAUACCAGUAGUCUAGAUUGCCCGCACUAGUAAAGCUUAUUGCAAAGUCUGAUACAAAGAUGUUAUUAUACAUCAUUGUAUAUAACAUGUCUGGAUUCCUGAAUUAUUCUAUGUAACAUGCAUAUAUUACAUAUAUUAUAUGUUACGAAUACGUUUUACGACGCCCUGCACGUUAUAGAAUACAUCUCAGUCUUUAGACACCGUCUGAGAGCUUUAUGAACGAUUUAAAUGACGGCUUCGAACUCCAUUGUGCGUCAGUUGCAGAUUUCAAUUGCCAGCUGCGUCCACGUAAAUUAAAUGUUCUCCCGACCGAACCACGUUAGGAAUUCGAGGUGAUCGGCAGACCAGUAAUAUCCGUGUAAAUUGAUCAAUUUGAAUCACAGAUUUCCUUUAUUGCUCGUCAUUUAUUGUUGACGUAAAAAGAACAGUCAGAAAAA